rnacentral:lncRNA from 1 species
GAGGCAGCAGCCUCCCCUAGAGCGCUCCUCCGUGCAGGUCCCCUGGUCUCUUACCCUGCCUCACACACCGGCGACCCCUCGCUUCCCCAGUCAGCGUCUGCGUAUGAGCCGGGCUCGAGGCGGGCUGCGGGGGCGCUCUGCUGGGGUGCUUUCGGGAUUGGAGAGGAUUAAAGGCGAGAAAGCAAAUCCGAUACAGGUGUGAAGCCGCCGCGGGUGGCUCGGGACGGCCUCGACCCCACCCCACCGCCUCCCUAGCCCGGAGAGCCCGGGGGUUGGGACCCAAGAGCGAAGGGAAAAUCAGUAGCGCGGCAGUUCCUGGCUGACGCUUGCUGGAACAGGUACGGGCAGCCGUGGCGCCCGAGACCCGGAGGUGAACAUGCAACCUCCGUGCGCAUCUCCACCUGCUCUCGCCACGCCAAGGUGCCGUCCGAGUCUCGGAGCCCACACCCACCUCCCGAGUCCCCGAGGCAGGGCAGGGGUUCUCCGGAGCGCAGGCGGGACACGGGCAUUUGAGGGCUCAUUUGCUGUGUGACUCUGAGGGUCUUUUAAAAUUCAGGUCUGCCCAUCUGUAACAUAAGUCGGUGCGAAACGGACGUUUUCCAGCACAGCCCCGCCUCCCCUCCGCCUCUGGCAGGUGAAGGGAGACACGUGGGAGGCAAAGCGACUUCCUCAAGGCUCUGCCGUGAGUCAAGGCACCUAAGAGUCCUGACUCCAUGCCCAGUCCUUGACUCACCAGCCCCUGCUCCUCGCCGUUGCAAAUGGUUGGCCUCAGAAUUGCUGAGCAGUCAAAACGAGUAGGCAUGGGUUUGCGGGGAGGGGUGGAGGGGAGAAGUAAAACCCGCGUUUGGGGUUUACAUCUCCCGAUGUCCUCAACCAAAAGCUUUGAAGCUUUUUCAUGUUCUUCCCGAUCUCCACUGCCCAACCGGCUUCAGAGUCAUCCGGUGCGUGCUGGACUAUCUAAAAGUUAGUGAUAAUUUUAAUCAUAAUCCUGGGAAACGAAAAAGGCCCAGACUAGAGAGAUUUAUUUUCGUCUUCGUAAAAAGAGAAUCAAAGCUUUAAAAUUAGGCAAAAUUAAUCUAAGAGAAAACAAAGCAGCAUACUUUGCUAGAUUCAGGAAACCACUGAGUUCAAAUCGUGCCUGGGAAAAGCAUCUUCCUAAAACUAAAUUGUGACGUCAGUUCACUUAGUGACUUACUUGUUUACAUGCCAAUACGAAAAGAGCAAAUCUCUAACA